AACAAGGUCUCCGUUGGUGAACCAGCGGAGGGAUCAUUAUCGAGUUAUUCAACUCCCAAACCCUAUGUGAACUUACCACUUGUUGCUUCGGCGCGCGCUUCGGCGCCGCCGAGGACACUUAAACUCUUUGUUUUUAUAAGCAUUUCUGAGUGGCCGAAAGGCAAAAAUACAAACGAAUCAAAACUUUCAACAACGGAUCUCUUGGUUCUGGCAUCGAUGAAGAACACAGCGAAAUGCGAUAAGUAAUGUGAAUUGCAGAAUUCAGUGAAUCAUCGAAUCUUUGAACGCACAUUGCGCCCGCCAGCAUUCUGGCGGGCAUGCCUGUUCGAGCGUCAUUUCAACCCUCGAGCCCGACUCUUUUGAGGACGGCUCGGCGUUGGGGGACGGCAGACUCCCCCCGGCAUCUCGCCGGGGACGCCGCCCCCGAAAUCUAGUGGCGGCCCUCCGAGGCGACCUCUGCGUAGUAACUUGUUCUCGCACCGGAAAGCUCAGAGCGGCCACGCCGUAAAACCCCAACUUUUUUCAGGUUGACCUCGAAUCAGGUAGGACUACCCGCUGAACUUAAGCAUAUCAAUA
rnacentral:rRNA from 1 species